ensembl:lncRNA
AAGGGGUCUUAAAGUAUGGCAUUCUAGAACACAGGUAACAGAAUGUUAGAACUGUGAUUGAAAAGAACAUGGAACAUGUCCUGCUAGAUUAAAGAAAGAUCUUAGAAAAUAUAACCCUAACAUACUACAGCUUUUAGGGACUUUAGAGAUGAUAUCCAGUCCACCAACAUCAUUUUACCAAUGAGUAAACAAGGCCCAUUAGUGCUCCCAGGAGUUUGGGAAGGAGUCUGCACUUCUAUAAUGCCAGCUAUAGCUCGGAGCAGAGGAGCACUUUUGUAUAAGACAUGAGAAUACUAAAAUGAAAGGAAAAGUAAUAACAGACAAAGAACUGGGAAAAGAGGAAACAUUUACACUCAGAGGAACAAAUGACAAAUGGACAAAUGACAUCACAUAUACAAAGUGCUUUGCAACCAAAAAGUUCUUCCUUAAAACCUAUCAUAGAAACAUGGAUGAAGGCUCACAUAGAACUGGACAAGCUAAAGAAAGAAUCAUUUAUUGCAUCAUUUAUGUAAAGGUAGAAAUCAGUCAGGUUAGAGGACAUUGGUUACUCAUCCUAAAAGACAAACAGUCAUUUUUUGCCUUGUUCAGGGCUGGUCUUUGGGACAGGCAGCCUUCCAUGUGUUAUAAUUUGAAGAAAGUAAGAAGAAGAAUUUACAUGGUUGUGGUAUUUUGUUGUUUACCUAGUAUUUUUCUCAAAAAUUAUAAUAAUAAAGGAAACAUUUGUCAACUUUAAAAGUGAACCAAAUGCCAAUCCAGUUUUCCCUACAGUCAGGAACAAUAUAUCAACAACUAAAAAGUGUAUUUUUUUCAGCAUAUCAAGGAAACAAAGAACAAC